rnacentral:rRNA from 1 species
CGCAGCCGCGGUAAUUCCAGCUCCAAUAGCGUAUAUUAAAGUUGUUGCAGUUAAAAAGCUCGUAGUUGAAUUUCGGGAUCAAUACGUCGGUCGUGCUUAGGUACGUACUGGCGUAAUUGAUUUCUCCCUUCUGACGAACCAUGAUGUCAUUAACUUGGUGUCAUGGGAAAUCAGGACUGUUACUUUGAAAAAAUUGAGUGUUUAAAGCAGGCUCGCGCUUGAAUACAUUAGCAUGGAAUAAUGAAAUAGGACGUUUGAUUCUAUUUUGUUGGUUUCUAGGAUCGACGUAAUGAUUAAUAGGGAUAGUUGGGGGCAUUAGUAUUCAAUUGUCAGAGGUGAGAUUCUUGGAUUUAUUGAAGACUAACUACUGCGAAAGCAUUUGCCAAGGAUGUUUUCAUUAAUCAAGAACGAAAGUUAGGGAUCGAAGACGAUCAGAUACCGUCGUAGUCUUAACC